rnacentral:rRNA from 1 species
GUCCAUGCCGUAAACGUUGGGAACUAGAUGUGGGGACCAUUCCACGGUCUCCGUGUCGCAGCUAACGCAUUAAGUUCCCCGCCUGGGGAGUACGGCCGCAAGGCUAAAACUCAAAGGAAUUGACGGGGGCCCGCACAAGCGGCGGAGCAUGCGGAUUAAUUCGAUGCAACGCGAAGAACCUUACCAAGGCUUGACAUAUACAGGAAACGUCUGGAAACAGUCGCCCCGCAAGGUCUGUAUACAGGUGGUGCAUGGUUGUCGU